rnacentral:lncRNA from 1 species
GUUAUCUUGAUUCUGGUGCUUAGUUGGAUUGGUUCUGGAUAACGGUGAGAAAAGGAUGUUUUAAGAAGCUUGUUUGAAGAAUUUUUGAUCUUCUUCUUAAAACCAUGCUCUUCACCUGUGCAUGAAAACCGCUCUCCUAUCAUCUCAGGCCCCGUUAACCUAUCUUCCAGGGACUCACUCCAGCAACUGGCACUUCUCCAGAUAUUCCUGUUUCCCUCCUGACUCAGACCACGGCAUCAGCUGGCAGUGAGCACCAUGCUGCAGUGGGAGAGGACAGCUCGAAGUUAGAGGAGAGGCCGGGGAAGCAGACAGAAUCAGGCCAACUGCACCUUUUUAGAAUGGAUUUGGUUAUACUGAAGUAAGUGGGGGAUUAUCUGGAACUUGAGCUAGAUAUAUCCACUAGUAAAUAAAAAUACCUCAUUCCCUACUUUGUGCAAGGCGCUCUUUUUAAGUCUUAUAUCCCAAAACAUACUUUUGGGGAUACUUAGAGCUCAGCAAGAGAGCUAAACAUGGUC